UAAAGCAGCUCUUGACAAGCCCUUAUCUCCACUGCUGAUCCUGUACAGUGAUUACAAACCCACUAUCAAAAGCUCUACUUGGGACCUCAUGCGAAAAAGGUGGGACCUAAGUAGGAAGAAAUAAACUUUAUGAAUUGAAGCCAACAAUUGGUUAAACCUACUUGGGUUGUCAGUUAAGACGUGAUGAGGUAAUUUUACGACGAUGUCGUAUUGGCCAGUCAGUUUACACAUGACUAUCUGCUGAAAACGGAUGGGGAUGGACUGGAAUAAUGCCGAUGUGACGUAAAUCUCAACUCAACUUAAAAGUUAAGAGAAUUAUUUUAAUGAGCAAUAACAAAACUGAGUUGGAGAGAAUGGUUUUAAUGGAUAACAAAAACAUUUGAACAAAAGUUCAAUAACAUUGAACUUGAGUUUUAACUAACUUCAUUAAAUAUCAUAACAUCCUAAGAUAUUAAAUAUCAAUUUCCAUUCAAGUACAUUGUUUCAGUGUCUCUUAUUUUAACAAAGGUUCAACAAUAUUGAACUUGAGGUUUAAGAGUGUUUCAGUGUUGCCCUGAUCUCCAGAGAGUAUCACAUGCUUUUUGGAAAUCGAUGACAAAAAGUGAGAAUAUGGUCUGUUGGCGAAUAUCCUUUUCUGAAACCAGCCUGAGCUUUGGAAAGGAUUUGGUUUGAUUCGAAGAAUUUAUUUAAUCGGCUGUUUUAAAUACAUGUAGAUGUGAAAAGUUUUCAAAUACUGCUCAGUAGUGUUAUUGGUCUAUAAUUUUCAGGGAUUUUAGGAUCACCUUUAUUUUUAUAAAUUGGUUUGAUGAUGCCAGUGUCGAGUACAAUGUUAAAAGUUUUAACAUAAAUACCUAGGAAUAUAUCCAUCGUAGAAGAAAUAUAUUCAUUUACAACAUCAAUUCCAGGAUCUGUUAUUUUGAAUAUUUAACACAUAUUAUUUCAUCACACUGUAUACUCCACCCUAUAAUCUUCUUUGGGUCAGUUCAUUCUGCCAGAAAGGUAAAUGCCGCAUCUUUUAACUGAUUGUAGGGAUUAUGGGCUGUAGGGGUUUUGGGAGACAACACGUCAAAUUGCAUGGUUUAAGUUAAUAGGUUUAUUGAUGGAAUCUUCCAGUAUGACAACAUUUUAGGUUAUUCUUAGACCUAUUACAAAAUGUCAGAUAGUUCGUACAUCAAUAACUUGUGUACAAAGAACCUGAAUGACCAACAGAGCCACAUGUUGAAAGUAGGUGCCAUAAUAGUCAGUGAACAAAGUCAUUGUGUCUGGAAGUAAAUGAAGUAGGUACUGGGUAAUAUUAAUUCCAUUACAUGAGGACUGACAUCAAUCAUAAUAAUUGGUUUGUAAAAUUCAAGCACUGAAAAUGUAUUAGCUGGCUGAAAAGGCCAAUGCUUUCAUUUGACAGGUGCUUUGCUUAUUUCUGUGGUUAAACAAUCAGCUGCUAAAUUAAUCAAUACAAUGUACAUAUAUACAGUAGUGACAAAAUAUUUUGAAAGUCAGUUCUUGGACAUUUUCUGAAAAGUAUUAAUAUAGUUUUUGCUUUUAAGGCCAAACCUUGGCUCGUAAGGUUGAUAGUUUAUACAUUUUAUUAAUGUGUUAACAAGUCUCUUUAGUUUGUGAAAAUGAAAUUUUCUUCUGUGAUUUGACUAAAAGUUUGGGUUUUCUUCUGGGUAUGUGUCCUGUUUUGCGCUAUUACUUAAAUCUUAAAACAUGGAUAAGGUAGAUUUUAGAUUUAUUGAUUCUGCUGAAAAGUUUAUAACAUUUGUGUUCCUUAUGACAACAUUUUCUCUUGUUAAACCCAAACAAUGAGAUAUUCAUGUGUUUUCAAACAGCUCAUUUCUAAUAGUUGUGCCUGAAAUUAAAUUCAAAGCUGUGUGCUAUGGAAUUUUACAGAAGAACAUGCAGCUUAUAUAAUUUCAGUAUCUGUGUACAUGUGCAUAGUUUCCCGUUCAACAAAGUGAAAUGUUAUCAAUUAAGUCGUAACAGCACACUGUAUGUCUACAUUUGGUGAACAACCUUCAUCAUGGCUUAUGCCUCUUAUAAUAUGAGGUAUUUUCACAAAAUGUCACCUGGAGACGUAAAGCAUGGUCGCAACUUCCAUCAUUUGAUUGUCAAGAAACAAGUUGAUUGUGGUACAUAUGUGUGAAAGUAGUUUGGAUUUGCUUAUGUAUUUUUAUGUGGCUUUUAACCAUUUUCUGUUUGAAAACACAUGUCACAUGCACAUUUUCAAGUUCAAUUGUGAAUUUUAAUGAAGUAAUGUGCCUUUCACUUAUCCUGUGCCUGCUGGAGUGUCAUGUGUGAGUGAGGACCAACUACAGCUAACACUGAAAAGUAUAAUCUUUUUUAUGCUCCCAAGAUUUUCAUACAGGUUGAUGAAUAAGGAUAUCCUUGAACUUGCUGUACCCAUUUACAGAACAAGCCGUGCAUGCGAGUAUCCAAACCUCGCUAUGUCAUCUACAGCCUUACACUGGUCAUCAUUGUGACUGCAGGAAUGGUAUGCGUAACAUCACUUGAAAGUGAUGCUUUAGUGAAACAACACUCAUACAUGUUUUUGUCACUAAAGAGUUUGAUCUAUUUUGCCAUUGCUAAUUUCGCUAUAGCAAGAAAACCCAUUCUGCUCUGUCCAUUUUGGGGUGAUGAAAUUACCUCUUGGGAAGAUAUUUAGUUGUGAAAUUUGAUCAAGUCAUACAUUAUGAAUAGCAUUUUGAAUGGUUCAUUCUCAAGUCAAGUCUUCAUCAACUAAUCAAAUUCUGUUGACCCUGUGUACUACUUGAAUGAUGAGCUAGAAUGAUAAUGAAUUGUUUUGCCAUAAUGACUGAGGUAUUGUGAGCAUUGGGUCUGGGUCACAAGGUGUUGUGAUACAUACUAGUGAUGGUCAGUUUUACAAAUUGAACUUACUUGAAACGUUAUCAAAUAAAUCUGUUGUAGUUGAGGCUUGAUAGUCCAUGGGAACAUGUUCUUCUCUGAUAGUGUUCUUGAGUUAAUGUAUGGCAAGGGCAAAAUGAUUGCCUGUGCAAAGAUAAUUUUUCUCAAGAGGUAUUCAUGCUUUUGUGAAUCUUAUAAGUUUCUUACAAAACUGGAACCUAUUCUGGACAUUCCAGUGAGAAAGACAUGUGGAUUGACUUGGCACAAUGUCAUAAGGGAACACUGAUAUGUUAGGGUGGGAGAGUCAAGCAACACUUCAUAAUCUUGAAAUGAUCAACAGAUCUGAUCUGAUACAGAGGUUCUUUCUCCAUGGUCAUCACUACAUACCAGCUUUCACUAUACGGAGACACCAUGUGUGUACUUUCGUACCAUUCACUUUUCAUCUGCAGUACUAAUAUGGCUUCCAAGUACAUUAUUCAGUGAUCUUGUGAAUAUUUUGUUAGACCCUAGCUUGCGUCUACUACCGUAUACAACAUUGCUGUACUUGUAAUAGUGACCGAGUGCGACAAGAGAAGUUAAGCAAUCUACUACAUCAUUAUUCUAGGAUCCAGAUUAAGGUCUAAACAAGGUAUGUAUCAAAUCUUCCAUGAUAUUAUGUUUAUAGAGCUUUCUACAUUUCAGAUACUUGAAUCCGUCAACAUUGAUGCAGAAAAUAUGAUGCUCGUUACUUUGUGGUGUAGGGGAAACCUAUAAAACACGAUGUUGCAUGUGUUGCUUCUGUUAUAAGGGUGACUCAUGUAUGGAUGAUAUCGAUGGCUACCUAUGUCAUUGGACAUUGUGUUGUUAAACAUGUUUCAUGCAGGAUGCAGCUAAGUGUAGCGCCAAGGUUAUAAGAAGAAUGUGCCUGUUCAGUGCAACUCGUAAGACCCUAAGGGUCAUUAUGAGAAUUUGAAGUGUUAUCCACUGUAUGUUGGAAUUCUUGAGUUUGUAUGGACCAUGAUGAAAACCUGACACGUGUAACUUCGUAUAGUGUAUUAUAUGUUGACAUGGUGCAGGGCUAUGACAAGAUUAUAUUAGGUAUUUUGGUGGUAUGAUAGUUUAUGUUUGAAAAGUUUCUUGGUGCAAUUCUUGAAAAUGGGUUGGAUGUGAAUCAGUUUGAAGUCUGUAUAGCAUAUAAAAACAAUCUUGGACUCUCAAGUUAUGAAUUGGACUUUGUGAAAACAUGUCACCUAGACAGGUUACAUAUUUGGCAUCUAAGUUUCGAAUGUUUGAGUCUUAAAAUGAAGCAUUUACGCACGUCCUCCCCCCAAUUUUUGUCCUUGUGUACAUCAAUAAUCAUUCAACAGUGAGGCAAUUCUGACCAUUCAGGGCGAUGGUGUGAAAAUGUCCAUGAAUUAGUGAUACACAUAUUUGGGAAUGUACAAAUCAUUCCGUCAGUUUAUUUGUGGGUGUAGACAGGGAACUAGUUGCAUUUACACAGAUGUUACUUUUUUAAUUUCAUUAGUGUCACAUGAGCAGUUGAUUAUGAGUUCUGAUGAAUCGUAUGAAUGUGUUUAGCUUUAGCCAGAUAAGUGUCAGAAUAAAAACUUGAAACAUGGCAUCGUUAAUCUAAUGUUUUCACCACAAAAACCCUUUUGAUUGCAUUACUGAAUAAGCUGUGUGCACACAAUAGUAACUGGAAACUGACGUAUGCAGUUGUUAAUUCAGAUGUGUAUUACUCCCAACCGAGUCCCUUAUUAACAUGACUAUUUAGAAGAAACCAAAAGCAAUUCAGGUGAGCUAUAGGGAUCUUUGGAAUUGUAUGUUCCAUUGAUGAAAAAUUUAACUUAGUCUUGAUAAUUAACUCAUGAUUUUCAACUAACACUCCUGCUUUCUUGCAAUGACAAGACAGACAUCUGAUUAUUAUUGAAGUGCUCAAACAAAUACAUCCUCUCUUCCCACAUACAACAUCUGUACAUUCUAACGAUGAUAAUGUACCCUUCCAAAGUUAUUACAGAAAUCAAUGUGAUCAGGUUCAUCACAUUUAAGUGAUAGUAAUAUUGUCGUUGCAUGUUGACAUUUAGUGAAUCGUAGCACAGGAUUUAUACUGGGAAUGUAAUUUCAUGUAAAUGUUUGUCCGACAUUUGAAAGGGGCAAGAUUUGUUCAAGUUUUGUAUUUGCUAAUUUCAAAAUUGUUGCACAGCAUAAAUUCAAGGAAAAAAGGCAUGUUUGUUAAGGUAUGGACCUGUGUGAACAGUGAUUAGUAAACAAUCCAUGAGCUGUUGACUUCCAUCUGUCUCUCCCUUUAGAUGAACUCGAAUGCAUAUUGCACUGAUGACACUGGUUUCAUCUAAUUUUAAAUGGGAAGUAGCAUGCUGUCAGUAACAAUACAAUUCUCUAAUACAUCCCCCUCUUUACUGAACCUUGAUAAGGGUGAAGUCUGGUUUCAACCAGGUUUAACUUGUUUGUUAUGGAUUUGCUUUUUAUCAAUAUUUUGUCCUUGCCAGAAGAAUGAUUGUAUAUAUUGUAAUGUUUUAAAUGCUAUUAUUGCAUAGUAUUAGUAGCUAUAUCAAGCUCUUUGGAAUUACAGAUCAACCAUGAUUUGUAAAAUCCCAAUAUCAGAAUGAAGAGUUAUGCAUUAAUUUCAUUGUACAGAAUAACAUAGGAUCUUUUAAAUCCACAAACUAAGAUGCACAUCUGCUGGGGAAGGGCUUGGGUUUGUUAACGUAAAGGAAUAUGAGUAUUAAUGACAAAUGAAUACACACACUAUCAAAAUAACAAUCAAGCUAUGUUUUGAAAUUUGUAUGGCUGUUGCAUCAAAGGUAUGGUGUUGACAUGCUGCAUAGCAAAAUCAACAUGUGGGAUUGUACAUAAUGUUUGUACAUUAUUACUGGAAUACUGUUCAAAGCAGCGUUAGAACCAACAUGCUCACUUGAAAUUGCCAUAGAGUUUAUGACGUCAUCAUAUUAAGUAUUUCACAAGUUUUCUUAUCAAACGAAAGACAUACUCCAUUUUUAUCAGGUUAUAUUUUGAUGAACCCAGUUGCUGCUAUUGCAUCAGAUGUUUUACUGAUAAAGAUAUACUCAUGUUUCGCCAUUUGGAUUUUCCUGAUCUUGUUCAUACUUACACCAUCAAAGGAAAUAUUGAUGAGGCAAUAUUGAUGAAUAUCUUCAGUGAAUCAUCAAAGCAAGUCCAUGAUGGCAUUAUUCAGUGAACGUUGUCAUGUCAAACAUGAGAAUCUACCUUUCAUUUGUCAUUGUGACAUUAUUUUUAUUGUGGAAUGGGGCGUUUCUCAUUGGGAAGGAAUGUCUUGUCCAUAUACACUACUAGCAUUUGUUUCAGAAGAAAAUGGUUGACUAUACUGUGAAAUAGAUGCAGACUGAGUACCCUGCAGAAUAUAUCAGUCUACUUAAAUACCCCACUGUAGUUUGGUGAAUCUAUUAUAUUGCCAAAUCUAUAUCUCCAUGUUUAUAAUUAAAGGUUAAUUUUCAGAAUUCUAUAAUUGAUAUAUGAAAUAGUUGAUAUGUUGGAUGAUUUAAGGUAAGUAACACAUACGAAAAUGAAGUCUGAUUAAUUUUUGUCCCAGUUAAAUUAAUAUAUUUGUCAAAUACCUCAGGGAGCUUUUUGUAAUCUGAUCUUGAAUGUGUUACAGGUGUGUUGUCCAGGAUGACAUGACUAAUCCAGCCUGCUGCUCAACCACAGCCUGAUCUGAAUGCACACAUGGUCAAAGUCACUGGCCAACGGAACUCACCAGAACUGUCGUGAUAAGUGAGAUUGAGAAAAUGCUGAAGAAGUGUUCUGAUGGAUUAGAUGGACGACUGCUCACUGGUUUCAAGCCUGGGCAUAAAUGCAAGGAAACCUCAUCUUAAUUCAUGUUUGACAUUGUUGAAAGAAAACUAUGAAUAAAUAGUUUUUCU
rnacentral:lncRNA from 1 species